rnacentral:rRNA from 2 species
UGGGGAAUAUUGCACAAUGGGGGGAACCCUGAUGCAGCGACGCCGCGUGAGGGAAGAAGGUUUUCGGAUUGUAAACCUCUGUCUUGUGGGACGAUAAUGACGGUACCACAGGAGGAAGCCAUGGCUAACUACGUGCCAGCAGCCGCGGUAAUACGUAGAUGGCGAGCGUUGUCCGGAAUUACUGGGUGUAAAGGGAGUGUAGGCGGGAUCAUAAGUUGCGUGUGAAAUGCAGGGGCUCAACCCCUGAACUGCGCGCAAAACUGUGGUUCUUGAGUGAAGUAGAGGCAGGCGGAAUUCCCGGUGUAGCGGUGGAAUGCGUAGAUAUCGGGAGGAACACCAGUGGCGAAGGCGGCCUGCUGGGCUUUUACUGACGCUGAGGCUCGAAAGCAUGGGGAGCAAACAGG